rnacentral:rRNA from 1 species
GUAGGUGGCAAGCGUUGUCCGGAAUUAUUGGGCGUAAAGCGCGCGCAGGCGGUUCUUUAAGUCUGAUGUGAAAGCCCACGGCUCAACCGUGGAGGGUCAUUGGAAACUGGAGAACUUGAGUACAGAAGAGGAAAGCGGAAUUCUACGUGUAGCGGUGAAAUGCGUAGAGAUGUGGAGGAACACCAGUGGCGAAGGCGGCUUUCUGGUCUGUAACUGACGCUGAGGCGCGAAAGCGUGGGGAGCAAACAGGGAUUAGAUACCCUGGUAGUCCACGCCGUAAACGAUGAGUGCUAAGUGUUAGGGGGGUUUCCGCCCCCUUAGUGCUGCAGCUAACGCAUUAAGCACUCCGCCUGGGGAGUACGGCCGCAAGGCUG